AGUUUCCCUGGGGAUAGCUGGCGCUCUCACAGACGCACAAAAGACUCCCUUUUAUCCAUCCGGUAAAGCGAAUCAUUAGAGGUCUUGGGGCAGAAAGGACCUCAACCUCGUCUCCAACUUUCUUUCAGUGGGUCAGAAGCCCGGCUCGCUGGCGUGGAGCCGGGCGUGGAAUGCGAGUGCCUAGCUGGCCACUUUUGGUAAGCAGAACUGGCGCUGCGGGGUGAACCCAACGCCUGCUGAAGGCGCCCCUUGCCGACGCUCAUCAGACCCCAGAAAAGGUGUUGGUUGAUAGCGACAGCAGGACGGGGGUCAUGGAAGUCAGAAUCCGCUAAGGAGUGUGUAACAACUCACCUGCGGAAUCAACUAGCCCUGAAAACGGAUGGCGCGGUGCCGCGGGCCCAUACCCGGCUGUAGUUCUUCCAAGGA
rnacentral:ncRNA from 1 species